UAACCCUUUAAUGUUUCUUAGAUCUUGGCUCGUGACUUCCUGGAGGAAUAUAUCUUCUUGGCUGUGGGCAGGGUUGGUUCCACCUCAGAGAAUAUCACCCAGAAGGUGGUGUGGGUUGAGGAAAAUGACAAGAGGUCCUUCCUGCUCGACUUGCUCAAUGCCACAGUCAUUCCGAAUGAGGUUCAGGACAGUACGGGGGAGAACGUAGAAAAACCUGGU